UACGGAGAGGGCUAGCGUUGUUCGGAAUCACUGGGCGUAAAGCGCACGCAGGCGGAUCGAUAAGUCGGGGGUGAAAGCCCGGGGCUCAACCUCGGAAUUGCCUUCGAUACUGUCGGUCUCGAGUCCGGGAGAGGUGAGUGGAAUUCCUAGUGUAGAGGUGAAAUUCGUAGAUAUUAGGAAGAACACCAGUGGCGAAGGCGGCUCACUGGCCCGGUACUGACGCUCAGGUGAGAAAGCGUGGGGAGCAAACAGG
rnacentral:rRNA from 1 species